rnacentral:rRNA from 1 species
AUGAACGCUGGCGGCGUGCCUAACCCCUGCAAGUCGAACGGAGUCCAGCCUUUAAGACCUUCGGGUCAAAGAGGGGAAGACUGAGUGGCGGACGGGUGAGUAACACGUGGGCAACCUGGCUCAUAGAGGGGGAUAACAGAGAGAAAUUUCUGCUAAUACCGCAUAAGCGCACACUGCCGCAUGGCAGAGGGUGAAAAGAGAAUCGCUAUGAGAUGGACCCGCGUCUGAUUAGCCAGUUGGCAGGGUAAGAGCCUACCAAAGCGACGAUCAGUAGCCGAUCUGAGAGGAUGAACGGCCACAUUGGGACUGAGACACGGCCCAAACUCCUACGGGAGGCAGCAGUGGGGGAUAUUGCACAAUGGGGGGAACCCUGAUGCAGCGACGCCGCGUGAGUGAAGAAGUAUUUCGGUAUGUAAAGCUCUAUCAGCAGGGAAGAUAAUGACAGUACCUGAAUAAGAAGCCCCGGCUAACUACGUG